GAUGAAGAACGCAGCGAAAUGCGAUACGUAAUGUGAAUUGCAGAUUUCAGUGAAUCAUCGAAUCUUUGAACGCACAUUGCGCCCGCUAGUAUUCUGGCGGGCAUGCCUGUUCGAGCGUCAUUUCAACCAUCAAGCCCUGUGCUUGUGUUGGAGCCCUGCGGCUGCCGCAGGCUCCCAAACCCAGUGGCGGGCUCGUCGUCGUACCGAGUGCAGUAAACAUACCACGCUCAGGGCACGCGACGGGUGACCGGCCGUAAAACCCCCCCCUUCUCAAGGUUGACCUCGGAUCAGGUAGGAAUACCCGCUGAACUUAAGCAUAUCAAUAAGCGGAGGA
rnacentral:misc_RNA from 1 species